AACUUUCAGCAAUGGAUCUCUUGGCUCUCGCAUCGAUGAAGAACGCAGCGAAAUGCGAUAAGUAAUGUGAAUUGCAGAAUUCAGUGAAUCUUUGAACGCACCUUGCGCCCUUUGGCCAUUCCGAAGGGCAUGCCUGUUUGAGUAUCAUGAACACCUCAACUCUUCAUGGUUUUCCAUGAUGAGCUUGGACUUUGGGGGUUUUGCUGGCCCUAUGGUGACCUCCUCUAAGGUGAAUGAGCUUGCCAGUGUGCAGUGGGCAUCACCGGUGUGAUAACCAACUACGCUUGUGGUUUUCCACCAGAUAAGCCUCCAGCAGUGGGGGUUGGUUGGAGCUCACAGUUUCUCUCUCCACUGAGAGGGCAGCCCUCUGAAUCUUUGAUCCCAAAUCAGGUAGAACUACCCGCUGAACUUAGGCAUAUCAAUAAGCCGAGGCU
rnacentral:misc_RNA from 1 species